UACGUAGGGACCAAGCGUUGUUCGGAUUUACUGGGCGUAAAGGGGCGCGUAGGCGGCGUGUUAAGUCACUUGUGAAAUCUCUAAGCUUAACUUAGAACGGUCAAGUGAUACUGAUGUGCUAGAGUGCAGAAGGGGCAACCGGAAUUCUUGGUGUAGCGGUGAAAUGCGUAGAUAUCAAGAGGAACACCUGAGGUGAAGACGGGUUGCUGGGCUGACACUGACGCUGAGGCGCGAAAGCUAGGGGUAGCAAACGGGG
rnacentral:rRNA from 1 species